GUCUAUGGCUGUGAAACGUAGAGGGGGUAGUCAAUGUUCCAUGCUGAGAAAAUGUUUGGCAAUUGUUUUGUCAUUUUGCUGCUCCCAAAACAUAGUGGUGAUGGUGGAUCGAUGUCCACGUAUUCGGUCUCUCAGUGUCAGAUUGGUUUUGGCAACAUAGGACAGUCCGCAAGGACAUGUGAUCAUGUAUAUCACAUGGUCAGUGGUGCAAGUUAUAUACUGAGAUAUCUUAAUUCUCUGACCAUUAUGAG